rnacentral:rRNA from 1 species
GAUGAACGCUAGCGGCAGGCUUAAUACAUGCAAGUCGAGGGGCAGCAUGAUUGUAGCAAUACAAUUGAUGGCGACCGGCAAACGGGUGCGGAACACGUACACAACCUUCCAACAAGUGGGGGAUAGCCCAGAGAAAUUUGGAUUAAUACCCCGUAACAUAGCGAUGUGGCAUCACAUUGCUAUUAUAGGUUUUUCGCUUGUUGAUGGGUGUGCGGCUGAUUAGAUAGUUGGCGGGGUAACGGCCCACCAAGUCUACGAUCAGUAGCUGAUGUGAGAGCAUGAUCAGCCACACGGGCACUGAGACACGGGCCCGACUCCUACGGGAGGCAGCAGUAAGGAAUAUUGGACAAUGGACGCAAGUCUGAUCCAGCCAUGCCGCGUGAAGGAUUAAGGUCCUCUGGAUUGUAAACUUCUUUUAUAAGGGACGAAAAAAGGCUUUUCUAAGUCGUCUGACGGUACCUUAUGAAUAAGCACCGGCUAACUCCGUGCCAGCAGCCGCGGUAAUACGGAGGGUGCAAGCGUUAUCCGGAUUCACUGGGUUUAAAGGGUGCGUAGGCGGGCAGGUAAGUCAGUGGUGAAAUCCUAGAGCUUAACUCUAGAACUGCCAUUGAUACUAUCUGUCUUGAAUAUUGUGGAGGUAAGCGGAAUAUGUCAUGUAGCGGUGAAAUGCUUAGAUAUGACAUAGAACACCUAUUGCGAAGGCAGCUUACUACGCAUAUAUUGACGCUGAGGCACGAAAGCGUGGGGAUCAAA